AGUGCCGGGGGAAGUUGCAAUGAGGCCUCAGCUCUGGGCCCAGUGGAGGCGCUGGGGACGGAAGAAGGGGAGCGGCCGGGGGCACUGAGGCAGAUGUGGCGCUACCGCUCCUGGGACGUGCCACAGAUCCCACCAGAGGCACCCCAGACACAGAAAGCCAUCACCAAGUCGGGCCUCCAGCACCUGGCCCCCCCUCCGCCCACCCCUGGGGCCCCGUGCAGCGAGUCAGAGCGGCAGAUCCGGAGCACAGUGGACUGGAGCGAGUCAGCGACAUAUGGGGAGCACAUCUGGUUCGAGACCAACGUGUCCGGGGACUUCUGCUACGUUGGGGAGCAGUACUGUGUAGCCAGGAUGCUGGUGAGUGCUCGUAGGGGCACGCUGCCCCCUGCUGGUGGAGCCAGCAGCCGCAGCCCUUCCGGGAAGGUGGGAUCUAGCCCGCUCCCUGGCACCCCUGCUGUGGGCCACCCCAGGAUGGUGAGGGGUGCAGGGGCUUUGUCCAGAUGCCAGGACUGGGGCUUCCCAGUGCACACAGAGGGCAGCUGUGCUGGGGCAGGCAGCCUCUGAGAUAGACUUACCUGGUGCCUCAGGGGCCCUCUCUUCCUGUCCUGCAGCAGAAGUCCGUGUCUCGAAGAAAGUGCGCAGCCUGCAAGAUUGUGGUGCACACGCCCUGCAUCGAGCAGCUGGAGAAGGUGGGUGGGUAGCUUAGCUUUGCCCGCCCCUGCCCUUUGGGUGCUGAGGCUCUUUCAACGUGCACACACGCCCACACUUUAUACAAACAUGGCCUGCCAGGAGUGACCCAGCACUGGGGGGUGAAGAGUCAAGGACCCUGGAGCCAAAUGCCUGCGUUCGAAUCCUGGCUCCUCACUGAUUAGCUGCUGUAUCCCCACUGCCUGGAACAAACCUGGCGCCUAGUGGGUUCGUUGAAUAUCAUUCAAUGGAAUGAAUUGACAAAUGGUGGCCCUUGUACCAUUUCACCAUGUCCAAACUAGUGCUUAGAAGAGACCAUUGAUUUGCUGAAGCUUCAUAACUCAGCGGUGGCUACACCCUGCCUCUGUGGAGACCUUUCCCCCCAAGGGCCAUUGUCCACUGUGCAUUUGCAGCUGGGGGCAUGUCUGGGCACUAGUGCUUCUAGAGGUGGAGGCAGCACUGGGCAGGCGGGUCAAGGCCAGGGGCAGAAGGGUUCGCAUGGAGGGGCAGUGCUUCCCAGCCUGCAGAAACCCAGGCCAGCAUACGAGAGAGACUGUAAGACUAGGAGUGGCUCAGGCAGGCUCACACAGGCUGCUUUCCCCAGCCUCUGAAUUGUAAAGUGAGGCUUCCUUAUACCUCCAAUAAGGCUGAAGUAGGGACAGUUAUGCGAAGGGAAAUAGAAAUGCAUCCCCAAGCACUGUACACUCAUCAUCUAAGGUGGAAAUCGAGCUAGGGUUCCACAAAUUAGCUAAAGGUCUCCAGGGGCCAGGCUGGCUGCAUGUGUCCAGGUCGGGAGUGCCAGAGGGCGAGGAAGAAAAGGAUGCGGCCGCGUGUGGUGGCUCGCGCCUGUGAUCCCAGCACUUUGGGAGGCCGAGGUAGGUGGAUCACCCUGAGGUCAGGAGUUUGAGACCAGCCUGGCCAACAUGGUGAAACCCCAUCUGUACUAAAAAUCAUAAAAAUUAGCCAGGUGUGGUGGUGCACACCUGUAAUCCCAGCUACUCGGGAGGUGGAGGUUGCAGUGAGCCGAGAUCGCACCACUGCACUCCAGCCUGGGCAACAGAGCGAGACUCUGUCUC
rnacentral:sRNA from 1 species